rnacentral:tRNA from 1 species
GGCCCGAUAGCUCAGUUUGGUUAGAGCGCCAGCCUGUCACGCUGGAGGUCGACGGUUCGAGCCCGUUUCGGGUCGCCA